rnacentral:rRNA from 1 species
ACUUACUUGGAUAACCGUGGUAAUUCUAGAGCUAAUACAUGCUAAAAACCUCAACUUCGGAAGGGGUGUAUUUAUUAGAUAAAAAACCAAUGCCCUUCGGGGCUCCCUGGUGAUUCAUAAUAACUAAACGAAUCGCAUGGCCUUGCGCCGGCGAUGGUUCAUUCAAAUUUCUGCCCUAUCAACUUUCGAUGGUAGGAUAGUGGCCUACCAUGGUGGCAACGGGUAACGGGGAAUUAGGGUUCUAUUCCGGAGAGGGAGCCUGAGAAACGGCUACCACAUCCAAGGAAGGCAGCAGGCGCGCAAAUUACCCAAUCCCGACACGGGGAGGUAGUGACAAUAAAUACUGAUGUGGAGCUCUUUAGGGUUUCACAAUUGGAAUGAGAAAAAUCUAAACCACUUAAACGAGGAACAAUUGGAGGGCAAGUCUGGUGCCAGCAGCCGCGGUAAUUCCAGCUCCAAUAGCGUAUAUUAAAGUUGUUGCAGUUAAAAAGCUCGUAGUUGAACCUUGGGCCUGGCCGGCCGGUCCGCCUCACCGCGUGCACUGGUUCGGCCGGGCCUUUCCUCCUGGGGAACCGCAUGCCCUUUACUGGGUGUGCCGGGGAAUCAGGACUUUUACUUUGAAAAAAUUAGAGUGUUCAAAGCAGGCAUUUGCUCGAAUACAUUAGCAUGGAAUAAUAGAAUAGGACGUUGUGGUUCUAUUUUGUUGGUUUCUAGGACCGCCGUAAUGAUA